rnacentral:rRNA from 1 species
AUUGAACGCUGGCGGCAGGCCUAACACAUGCAAGUCGAGCGAGCGGCGGACGGGUGAGUAAUGUCUGGGACACUGCCUGAUGGCGGGGGAUAACUACUGGAACCGGUAGCUAAUACCGCAUACCAUCGGAUGUGCCCAGAUGGGAUUAGCGAGUAGGUGGGGUAACGGCUCACCUAGGCGACGAUCCCUAGCUGGGCUGAGAGGAUGACCAGCCACACUAGAACUGAGACACGGUCCAGACUCCUACGGGAGGCAGCAGUGGGGAAUAUUGCACAAUGGGCGAAAGCCUGAUGCAGCCAUGCCGCGUGUAUGAAGAAGGCCUUCGGGUUGUAAAGUACUUUCAGCGGGGAGGCGUUACCCGCAGAAGAAGCACCGGCUAACUCCGUGCCAGCAGCCGCGGUAAUUC